AUUGAACGCUGGCGGCAGGCUUAACACAUGCAAGUCGAGCGGGGUGAUGGUGCUUGCACUAUCACUUAGCGGCGGACGGGUGAGUAAUGCUUAGGAAUCUGCCUAUUAGUGGGGGACAACAUCUCGAAAGGGAUGCUAAUACCGCAUACGUCCUACGGGAGAAAGCAGGGGAUCACUUGUGACCUUGCGCUAAUAGAUGAGCCUAAGUCGGAUUAGCUAGUUGGUGGGGUAAAGGCCUACCAAGGCGACGAUCUGUAGCGGGUCUGAGAGGAGGAUCCGCCACACUGGGACUGGGACACGGCCCAGACGCCUACGGGAGGCAGCAGUGGGGAAUAUUGGACAAUGGGGGGAACCCUGGUCCAGCCAUGCCGCGUGUGUGAAGAAGGCCUUAUGGUUGUAAAGCACUUUAAGCGAGGAGGAGGCUCUUUUGGUUAAUACCCAAGAUGAGUGGACGUUACUCGCAGAAUAAGCACCGGCUAACUCUGUGCCAGCCGCCGCCGUAA
rnacentral:rRNA from 1 species